rnacentral:rRNA from 1 species
GAUGAACGCUAGCGGCAGGACUAACACAUGCAAGUCGAGGGGUAGCAGGAUUAAGCUUGCUUAAUUGCUGACGACCGGCGCACGGGUGCGUAACGCGUAUGCAACCUACCUUAUACUGGGGUAUAGCCCGGAGAAAUUCGGAUUAAUCCCCCAUAGUACUAAUGAAUCGCAUGGUUUAUUAGUUAAAGCAUUGCGGUAUAAGAUGGGCAUGCGUCCUAUUAGUUAGAUGGUGAGGUAACGGCUCACCAUGGGUAAGAUAGGUAGGGGGCCUGAGAGUGUGGUCCCCCACACGGGUACUGAGACACGGACCACACUCCUACGGGAGGCAGCAGUGAGGAAUAUUGGUCAAUGGGCGCAAGCCUGAACCAGCCAUGCCGCGUGCAGGAAGAAUGCCCUAUGGGUUGUAAACUGCUUUUAUUUGGGAAUAAACCUCUUUACGUGUAGAGAGCCGAAGGUACCAAAUGAAUAAGCACCGGCUAACUCCGUGCCAGCAGCCGCCGCAG